UCCUAUGGGUGAGCAAAGAAGGUGGUUUCUUAGGACGGAAUCUACCCCUGUGAAGAUGCUGUGAA
rnacentral:pre_miRNA from 1 species